rnacentral:rRNA from 1 species
CAGUAGCCACGGUAAUACGAAGGGUGCAAGCGUUACUCGGAAUUACUGGGCGUAAAGCGUGCGUAGGUGGUGGUUUAAGUCCGUUGUGAAAGCCCUGGGCUCAACCUGGGAAUUGCAGUGGAUACUGGGUCACUAGAGUGUGGUAGAGGAUAGUGGAAUUUCCGGUGUAGCGGUGAAAUGCGUAGAGAUAUGGAGGAAUACCGAUGGCGAAGGCAGCCAUCUGGCCUAACACUGACGCUGAGGUACGAAAGCAUGGGGAGCAAACAGGAUUAGAUACCCCAGUAGUCCCUGUCUCUUAUAC